UACGUAGGGUGCGAGCGUUAAUCGGAAUUACUGGGCGUAAAGCGUGCGCAGGCGGCUUUGCAAGACAGAUGUGAAAUCCCCGGGCUCAACCUGGGAAUUGCGUUGGAGACUGCAAGGCUUGAAUCUGGCAGAGGGGGGUAGAAUUCCAAGUGUAGCGGUGAAAUGCGUAGAGAUUUGGAGGAAUACCAGUGGCGAAGGCAAUCCCCUGGGCCUGUACUGACGCUCAUGCACGAAAGCGUGGGGAGCAAACAGG
rnacentral:rRNA from 1 species